rnacentral:lncRNA from 1 species
AGUGACCUCAGAACAUUCGAGCCUCUCCCAGAACGACAAUGUGAAGAGCCAUCCUGCUCCAUCAGGCAUCCCAGCCGAGCUUCAACCGACGGAUUCGAACUCUCUGACAAGCCACGACAAGAGUCGCCACCCUACUCCACUCUCUGCAAUAGAUUCCAUGCAGCUCCACCACUCUCUGGUAAGUCACGAUAACAGACACCACUCCACCC